UGGGGAAUAUUGGACAAUGGGCGCAAGCCUGAUCCAGCAAUACCACGUGAGUGAUGAAGGCCUUCGGGUUGUAAAACUCUUUUAGUAGGGAAGAUAAUGACGGUACCUACAGAAAAAGCACCGGCUAACUUCGUGCCAGCAGCCGCGGUAAUACGAAGGGUGCUAGCGUUGUUCGGAAUUAUUGGGCGUAAAGCGUGCGUAGGCGGUUUGGUAAGUCAGCUGUGAAAUCCCAGAGCUUAACUUUGGAAUUGCGGUUGAAACUACUAGGCUAGAGUAUGGUAGGGGAUAGUGGAAUUCCUAGUGUAGGGGUGAAAUCCGUAGAUAUUAGGAGGAACACCGGUGGCGAAAGCGACUAUCUAGGCCAUUACUGACGCUAAGGCACGAAAGCGUGGGGAGCAAA
rnacentral:rRNA from 1 species